rnacentral:rRNA from 1 species
UACGAAGGGUGCAAGCGUUACUCGGAAUUACUGGGCGUAAAGCGUGCGUAGGUGGUUCGUUAAGUCUGAUGUGAAAGCCCUGGGCUCAACCUGGGAAUGGCAUUGGAAACUGGCGACCUAGAGUGCGGUAGAGGGCAGUGGAAUUCCCGGUGUAGCAGUGAAAUGCGUAGAGAUCGGGAGGAACAUCUGUGGCGAAGGCGACUGCCUGGACCAGCACUGACACUGAGGCACGAAAGCUAGGGGAGCAAACGGG